GCGAGGCUGCCCGGUGCGUCAGGUUCAGACAUCCCCAGGGCCAAUACGCAACUCCCGGGAACUGGCGCUGGCCGAACCGUGGUUCGGCUAUCUGGUGCCCACCUGCUUAUGGCAGGCCUUGGGAGGAUGCAGACGCCAACGGCCAGGGCGGCUUCGCG
rnacentral:other from 1 species